ACGCACGCUGGCGGCGUGCUUAACACCUGCAAGUCGAACGGAAAGGCCCUGCUUUUGUGGGGUGCUCGAGUGGCGAACGGGUGAGUAACACGUGAGUAACCUGCCCUUGACUUUGGGAUAACUUCAGGAAACUGGGGCUAAUACCGGAUAGGAGCUCCUGCUGCAUGGUGGGGGUUGGAAAGUUUCGGCGGUUGGGGAUGGACUCGCGGCUUAUCAGCUUGUUGGUGGGGUAGUGGCUUACCAAGGCUUUGACGGGUAGCCGGCCUGAGAGGGUGACCGGCGACAUUGGGACUGAGAUACGGCCCAGACUCCUACGGGAGGCAGCAGUGGGGAAUAUUGCACAAUGGGCGGAAGCCUGAUGCAGCAACGCCGCGUGCGGGAUGACGGCCUUCGGGUUGUAAACCGCUUUCGCCUGUGACGAAGCGUGAGUGACGGUAAUGGGUAAAGAAGCACCGGCUAACUACGUG
rnacentral:rRNA from 1 species